rnacentral:rRNA from 1 species
UACGUAGGUGGCAAGCGUUAUCCGGAAUUACUGGGCGUAAAGCGCACGCAGGCGGUCUUUUAAGUUUGACGUGAAAGCUCUCGGCUUAACUGGGAGAGGUCGUUGAAUACUGGGAGACUUGAGGAAAUGAGAGGGGUGUAGAAUUCCCGGUGUAGUGGUGGAAUGCGUAGAUAUCGGGGGGAAUACCAGUGGCGAAAGCGGCACCCUAGCAUUUUUCUGACGCUCAUGUGCGAAAGCGUGGGGAGCGAACGGG